rnacentral:rRNA from 1 species
GACGAACGCUGGCGGCGUGCCUAAUACAUGCAAGUCGAACGCAGUGGGGACGGGUGAGUAACACGUGGGUAACCUCCCAUCAGAGGGGAUAACACUUGGAAACAGGUGCUAAACCGAUACUGAUGGAUGAACCCGCGGUGCAUUAGCUAGUUGGUGAGGUAACGGCUCACCAAGGCCACGAUGCAUAGCCGGCCUGAGAGGGGGACCGGCAACACUGGGACGGAGAAACGGCCCAGCUUCCUACGGGAGGCAGCAGUAGGGAAUCUUCGGCAAUGGAGGAAAGUCUGACCGAGAAACGCCGCGGGAUUGAAGAAGGGUUUCGGAUGGUAAAACUCUGUUGUUAGAGAAGCGGUAUCUAACCAGAAAGCCACGGCUAACUACGUGCCAGCAGCCGCGGUAAUAC